UUUAAUUCGAAGCAACGCGCAGAACCUUACCAGCUUUUGACAUGGGACGUAUAGGGAUCAGAGAUGAUUUCUUUCAGUUUGGCUGGCGUCCACACAGGUGCUGCAUGGCUGUCGUCAGCUCGUGUCGUGAGAUGUUGGGUUAAGUCCCGCAACGAGCGCAACCCUUGCCGUUAGUUGCCAUCAGGUUGGGCUGGGCACUUUAACGGGACUGCCGGUGAUAAGCCGGAGGAAGGUGGGGAUGACGUCAAGUCCUCAUGGCCCUUAUAGGCUGGGCUACACACGUACUACAAUGGCGGUGACAGAAGGAAGCGAAGGAGCGAUCUGGAGCGAAUCCUCAAAAGCCGUCUCAGUUCGGAUUGUUCUCUGCAACUCGAGAGCAUGAAGUCGGAAUCGCUAGUAAUCGUAGAUCAGCAUGCUA
rnacentral:rRNA from 1 species